UACGGAGGGGGCAAACGUUGCUCGGAAUCAUUGGGCGUAAAGCGCACGUAGGCGGUUCGGUAAGUCGGAUGUGAAAUCCCUCGGCUUAACCGAGGAAGUGCAUCCGAAACUGCCGAGCUUGAGUACGGAAGAGGGUCUCGGAAUUCCCGGUGUAGAGGUGAAAUUCGUAGAUAUCGGGAGGAACACCAGUGGCGAAGGCGGAGACCUGGGCCGAUACUGACGCUGAGGUGCGAAAGCGUGGGGAGCAAACAGG
rnacentral:rRNA from 1 species